rnacentral:rRNA from 1 species
CAAUAGCGUAUAUUUAAGUUGCUGCAGUUAAAAAGCUCGUAGUUGGAUUUCGGGUGGGAAUGGCCGGUCCGCCGUUUCGGUGUGCACUUGCUACGCCCACCUUGCUGCCGGGGACGUGCUCUUGAGUUCACGCUCGGGACACGGAGUCGGCGAGGUUACUUUGAGUAAAUUAGAGUGUUCAAAGCAGGCCUACGCUCUGAAUACAUUAGCAUGGAAUAACACGAUAGGACUCUGGCCUAUCUUGUUGGUCUGUAGGACCGGAGUAAUGAUUAAGAGGGACAGUCGGGGGCAUUCGUAUUCAUUGUCAGAGGUGAAAUUCUUGGAUUUAUGAAAGACGAACUACUGCGAAAGCAUUUGCCAAGGAUGUUUUCAUUAA